rnacentral:rRNA from 1 species
GAUGAACGCUGGCGGCGUGCCUAAUACAUGCAAGUCGAGCGAAUGGAUUAAGAGCUUGCUCUUAUGAAGUUAGCGGCGGACGGGUGAGUAACACGUGGGUAACCUGCCCAUAAGACUGGGAUAACUCCGGGAAACCGGGGCUAAUACCGGAUAACAUUUUGAACCGCAUGGUUCGAAAUUGAAAGGCGGCUUCGGCUGUCACUUAUGGAUGGACCCGCGUCGCAUUAGCUAGUUGGUGAGGUAACGGCUCACCAAGGCAACGAGGCGUAGCCGACCUGAGAGGGUGGUCGGCCACACUGGGACUGAGACACGGCCCAGACUCCUACGGGAGGCAGCAGUAGGGAAUCUUCCGCAAUGGACGAGAGUCUGACGGAGCAACGCCGCGUGAGUGAUGAAGGCUUUCGGGUCGUAAAACUCUGUUGUUAGGGAAGAACAAGUGCUAGUUGAAUAAGCUGGCACCUUGACGGUACCUAACCAGAAAGCCACGGCUAACUACGUGCCAGCAGCCGCCGUAA